CUCAUUAAUUCGACGCAUUUUAUAGAACCACUCAGAAACCACAUGGAUUUCAUAGGAAGAACUCCACAUUUAAUAUCGCGGAUUCCCGCCUCAACAGAAGACGCCUUCUACAAAAUGAUAAAAGUGAAAUCUCGCACGAAUGGAAAUGUGUCCCUUCCAGAAGCAAGAGCGAAGCCCGUUGGACUUGUCGUGGAGGUCGCUAUUAUUAGCGAUUACUCUCAUACGCGGAAUCUUCGAAAGAAGUCGAUCAAAGGUCUGGAAUACAUAAUGACGUACAUGCACAAGGUAAA
rnacentral:lncRNA from 1 species